rnacentral:rRNA from 1 species
UACAGAGGUCUCAAGCGUUGUUCGGAUUCAUUGGGCGUAAAGGGUGCGUAGGCGGCGCGGUAAGUCGGGUGUGAAAUCUCGGAGCUUAACUCCGAAACUGCAUUCGAUACUGCCGUGCUUGAGGACUGGAGAGGAGACUGGAAUUUACGGUGUAGCGGUGAAAUGCGUAGAUAUCGUAAGGAAGACCAGGUGGCGAAGGCGGGUCUCUGGACAGUUCCUGACGCUGAGUGCACGAAGGCCAGGGGAGCAAACGGG